GACGUAGGAGACGAGCGUUGUCCGGAGUUACUGGGCGUAAAGCGCGCGCAGACGGUUCCGCGCGCCUCGUGUGAAAUCCCCCGGCUCAACCGGGGCGACGGCGCGAGGGACGGCGGAACUGGAGGCUGGUAGAGGCCGGUGGAAUUCGGGGUGUAGCGGUGAUAUGCGUAGAGACCCCGAGGAACACCCGCGGCGAAGGCGGCCGGCUGGGCCAGUCCUGACGUUGAGGCGCGAAGGCCGGGGGAGCGAACGGG
rnacentral:rRNA from 1 species